rnacentral:rRNA from 1 species
UACGAAGGGGGGCUAGCGUUGUUCGGAAUUACUGGGCGUAAAGCGCACGUAGGCGGAUAUUUAAGUCAGGGGUGAAAUCCCGGGGCUCAACCCCGGAACUGCCUUUGAUACUGGGUAUCUAGAGUCCGGAAGAGGUGAGUGGAAUUCCGAGUGUAGAGGUGAAAUUCGUAGAUAUUCGGAGGAACACCAGUGGCGAAGGCGAGUCC